rnacentral:sRNA from 1 species
AUGUACCCCCGUACACUCCGGUUUCUCCGCGCCGUCCGCACCCACCUGACGGCUGCUCGCUACGUUUUGUUAGCC